rnacentral:lncRNA from 1 species
AAACAGGUUCUUUUUCUCCCAUCUUCAUCCUGCAGAUCUCGACCUCGACCUCGAUCUCGAUCUGUCUUGCUUCGGAACCUCUUUUCCGUUCGUUCUUCCCCGGGGGAUUUCUUUUCCCAUCUGGGUUUGAGCACGGUGGGGAUCGAUAUUCAGUCUCGUUCGUCGUUACUGUCAUCUUCUUGUUCCUCUCUUCUGGAUUAGAAAUACCUUUCUCCAACUGCAUGGUUCUCCUGAUUUGUUCUUGUUUUUUAGUUUGUUUUCGGUGGCCAAGGAUUAAAAUAAAUUAUAGACAAGCAUAUGUCCGAAUUCUCUUCAUGUGGAACGAUCUAAUCUUCUCUAUGAGGCCAGCGAUCUUGCUCGUUUUUUGAUCUGCAGUUUUAUUAGAUGCGUUCCGUGGUUGCCGAUGAUGAUUAGUGUGAACCUUUCUCAAUGAAAUCACUAAUGAUUACAUAACCUACUGCCUUCCUUCUGAGGCACCACGAAUCGUCGAUUCCUUGUGUCUUUGUAUGUAUUUUUUUUGUUGUCUCUUGAAUUAUUGGUUUGCCAUGGUCGGAUGAUGAUCACAAGUGCAUAGUUCAUAUGAUCAAAUCGUGAUUACUUGAACAAAAAUAGUCUUUCGCUCCUAUCUGACGACCGUGCAACCUUCCCUUUCUCAGGAGAAUCAAACAAUUUGUGUGUUAUUUCCCUUGUUAUGUUUUGCAACUUACUGUCUGAAUUUGUUGUAGAGGACGGUCAAGAUUGAUAUUUGGUCUCGUGCAUAAUUAGCAGGUCAAAAUCUGAUUAAUUUUGUACUAGUAUAACUUGCCUGAGUUAGGCCGUGCAUAGUCACAGAUGACGAAACUGUGAUUACACUGACGAACUUUAGCUUUCCUGUUUAAUUUCAGUUAAAAUUUCAUACGAGAAACCGUACCUACUCAGUAAAGCUACUUCGAUUUAAGGAAUAAUUUUGGAGAAUGUUUUAUUUGCUUGAAUUUGGAGCAGUGACUAGACAUUCACUCAAUAUCAUCUUUCUGGUUUGAAAUCGCUAUGUUCUUACCUAGCUUCGUGUAAUAUGUUCAGAACUGUAAUGUUAAUGCCAGUGAUUCCUGGAAAGCCAUUCUACUACACAUUAGGCAGAACUUCUCACAUAGUAGUUCAUGAACUUAUUGGGAUGACACAUCUCAAGAAAAAGAGACUUGUUGGAAUAAUAGAGGAAUGACAGAAUUAAGAGUAAUAAAUGGAAUUUUAUAUUUUUGGGGAUCUUUGAUUAGGCAGCACUAGCAUAGUUAGCUGUUUUUGAAUUGGUAGACCAUCUACAACAGAUACUUUGAUGUUUGCAAUGGUUCUCCAAACCAGUUUGAGGAUGAUGAUUUCAUAUUUGUCGCCCCAGUCUUAGGAUCCGCCUAGGUGGAUCUGUGCUGAUUGACAUAUUACUGAAUCUGACUCAGCAAAUGAAAUUUUGAACAAUUGGUUCGAUUCUCUUUUCUACUUAUUUUCCUUGGGUGAUGGCAGUGACGAUUUGCAAAAUUCAAGCUCAACAGACCAAAUCACAGGUUUUCUCCCAGGAGUUGAUUUGUAUGCCGAUUAUCCCGCUGAACCGAGCCAUCUGACACUUGAGUUUUUAAAACUGCUGUUCAUUGUUCUUAUCUCUGGAUCCUUCACUUCCAUGCUUCUUUUCAUGUUUAUUUAUUUUUGCUUGUAUUGGAGGACGUAAUUGCAAUGAGGAUAACAAGCUCCCUUUUCUGAAAGCAUUGACGACAUCGCUGUAGAAUCGAACCAAUUAAAUAUUGCCACCACUGAGCAACUCUGUAUCUUUGUACAAUCUUUGUUGCUUCUUCUUACAUCUACAAGAUCUGUUUGGAUCGUGAGGAAGUAUUGAUGCAUAAUCCAACACUUGAUCCGAGGGCAGCUUGAGCAGCCCAUAUGAUGUCAUCUUUGCAACUGAAUCCAUCAGAGUACAGUGUUAUUUUUUCUGAAACGUUGAAGCAAUCUUCAGACACCUUCUGACACGGUGCUUAAUUUUCUGUGAAUGAGAAGUCAUCUAUAUUCUGAUGAUACAUCUUGUUUUCAUCAGUUUUUACAAUCUUGUCUUCCAAGUUAGAUCUAUAAUGCAAUCGAAGCCCAUGAUGAUUAGCUUUAUGUUGGAAUUACCGUCAGACCAUAGGAAGUGCCAUAUGACACUGUAAACAACAGCUGCUUCUCAACACUGCAAGUGUCCUCCUUCGAGCAUAGCCUUUGUGGUUUUCUUUCCGUGUUAAUUUCGUCUUCUUUCGGUGAAGAUCCCAGCAGAGAGGUGUUGAAUCUCCCUUGUUGAGGCCUCUCUAACAAAUUUUUAAUCUUAGCACAGUGACGAGACGCCGUGGAUUUUGUGGAUGUGUGAUAUUCCUGGUUCUGUCACAUCUGUUGCCAUGGAUACAACUUUAUCAUACUAUAGUAUCUAAACUUCUGUUUUCCAUCCGAGGGACCUAUGGAUGGACAGCCCUUCCCUUGCUGUGUCUACCAAGUUUGCCUUCGGACACUAUAAAGCAAAUUGUUCUUCAAUCAUCUUGCUUCAAACUCUUUAUUUUUUGUGAGGUGGAAACGUUUGCUGACAUUUGAUUUAUGGAUAAGCCAAUGAAUUUUUGUUUCUAAUUUUCAGUCUUGCAAAUCAGACCCAACGAGCGACGAUUCAGGCAGCCCUUUUGUCCAUUACAAUGGCAAUGGAGGUGUUGCGUUGCUCGGAGAUUAAAUCUUCUGCUCUUCAGAUUAGCUGAGUGGGAGGCUCUGCUUCCCUCCUUGAAGCUUGUCUAGUAGUCUUAAGAACAUCUAAUAGUCCUCAUUACAAACUUUGUAGAACAUUGUAGUUCUUUGACGAGCGAUGAUUCAGGCAGCCUCUUUAUCGUUACAGUGGCAUUGGAGGGGGAGGCUCCUGCUUCCCUCCCUGAAGCUGGUCUAGUAGUCUUAAGAACAUUAUUAUAAGUAUGUUUCUCAUACCCGAUUUGAUUUUGACCUUUUUUGUUUGUGAAAUGGUAAUUCAAUAAUUGGUGAAAACAAAUGAUGAUAGCAAGACAGGGACAUCAGAACCCUGAAUUUCUGGGUUAUGACAGAUUACGUCAAUAAUGGUAAUCUCUCUGAUGUUUUCAGUUCCCAAGUUAAAUUGAUCUGUUUUUUCCUUUUCAAUCAGUCUUCUUUGGAAUAUGGUUCUCUUUCUCUAGCAAUUCAGAUCUUGGAUGGCAAUGCUCAGCUCAUGGUCGGCCUCAUCGUGCAUACAGCUAGAUAGAUCCAACGAUAUAUAAAGCAGUUACACAAUUGGCAACUGAAGCUUAAUAACAUUUUCAUGAAAGUGAACAGAGAUUUUUUAUCUAAAAACAAUGAACAUACUGACCCGGAUCUACAUUUAUUCAUAGGAUAGGAAAAAUGGUGAACUGCGAAUGAACAUGAAACUAACCCAAAGGCUUACAGAUGGCCCUACAAUGGCAAUGCUCAAUUUGAUGUUCUUGGUUGAUCAGAGUUUGGUCAGUUCAGUACGCGAAACAAAUCACUGCAUGGUGGCUACAGAGCUUCAACAUUAGCAUACAGCUAAAAUUGAUCCAAAGACGACUUCUGUUUACAUCAUUUGAAGCUUAGCAAAACUUGUGGUAUUUUAAGUGUCGGCCUUGUCUGAAAAAAAUACCAAUCUGUUGAUGUAUCUGUGCAAAUGUUCUGAGGGACAAUUUCCUUUUGAGAUUUUGAUCUAAUCCUUAAAGCUGUCCGAUGAUGAUCAAACAAAAUACUUUCGUUCUUCUGAUGUGCUAUCUCAUGGCGCGGUGCGGAAGCAAUUUAGAGACCUGAACUGGGGAAAUGAUUGAUUAGUUCUUGCCAUCUGCAAGUUUUGCUAUUUUUUUCAUGUUUUUUCUGCUUGUAGUUUGCAAUGGAAAAUUGUUUUUGUGUUUGUUGCUUCACAACUGGAAGGAUGGCCUGUUGAUAACAGUUUGGACAUCCCGUAGAGGGAAAGCAUAGAUGAAUGGAAACACCGGCCAGUAUUAAACAGCAUGACGCUCUGUCAAACCGCGUCAUGUUACCUGUCUUCUGGCACAUUUCUAACAUAGUACAUAUUUUUAUUUCUCGAGAUUUUAAUUCCUGAUUCUGUAGCUCGUUAAUUUGGCGGAAGAAAGCCAGCAUUGCACGUGCUUUGGAGGAUUAAACUUGCAGAAAGCUCGAUCAGUUUUGUUCGGUGAUGAUCAAACUAAAUACUUUUGUUCUUCUAAAGUUCUGAUGCGCUAUCUCAUAGCUCGGUGCAGAAGAACACCUAUGUUUAUCAACCGCAUUAUGCCUACCACAGAGCAUCAUUGCCAAAACAAACGAAUGAGCAUAUUAUGCAUUCUUAUUGACAAAGCAAUUUACAUGAUUUUAGCAGAGUCCACUGUACUUGAUCUUUGAGUGACCAAACAACUGACAAAUCUUUUUUGAGAAAACCCUUAUCUUGAGAGAUAGUAGUCGUGGCCCCAGCUCAUUAUGAGACUUUCCUUUGUGGGCGGUCGUGAUAUGAACAUCUCUUUUGUAUCUGAGCCCACCCAACAUUUUUCUUAUGCUUCAUUACAGUUUGGUACAGCCUAUGAAGGCUCUUCUAGUUUUUGGGAAAAUAAACAGCUAGACUGUAACUGCUACAGUGAUGAUAUAAUCCUUGUCUCCCUUUUCUAACAUCCUCAGUUGUAAUAACUGAAUGAGCAAUGAUGCAGGCAGCCUCUUUGUCCGAUUACAUUGGCAAUGGAGGUGUUGAGUUGCUUAAUUUGAUAUUUUUUUGGUUGCUCAUUGUUUGGUCAGAUCAAUAUGCGAAGCAAAUCAGCUGCAACAUUAAGCAUACAGCAAGAUUGAUCCAAAGAUGCAUCUGUUUACAUCAUUUGCAACUGAAGCUUAGCAACACUUGUGCAAUUUUAAGUUUCAACCUUGUCUGGAAAAAUACCAUUCUGUUGAUACAUCUGUGCACAUGUUUUGAGGGACUAUUUCUUUUCGAGAUCUUUUUUUGUACUGGAUCUAAUGCUUAAAGCUGUCUCAUGGCUUGGUGUGGAAGCUAUUUGGAGACCUGAACUGAGGAAAAACUGUAUGUAAAAACAGUUAAAAUUGCAUAUUUUUUAUCGUAGUGUUGCAAAUCGAAAUGAUUUUUCUUUCUUGUUGUACUUUUUUUGCGGUAUUUUUUCUUGGCAUACACUCCUUCACAUCUGGAAGAAUGCCCUGAUGUAUACAGUAUUUUUUUAAACUGCACACAUUGUACUGUCGAAUGCUAGCGGUCAAAUCUAAAAUCUUCUGAUCUUCAGAUUAGCUGACGUGGAGGCUUUGCUUCCCUCACUGACGCUCGUCUUAAGAACAUUUUCUAUCUGUUUCGAACACAAUCUGGUUUCUUUUACAAUGUCUUAAGGAUGAUCGACCUGUUUCUUACAAAUUUGGUUUCCUUUGUGUUUUGGUUGCGGGUUGCCUACCCAAGGGACCUAUGGAUGGACAGCCCUGCCCGUGUGAAUGUUCAUCAAUCAUCUUGCUAUGGAACUCAGUUUUUUCUUGUGAUAAUAACGUUUGCUGACAUUUGAUUUAAGUUUGGUUAAAUAAAAUAUCUCCUGUACUAUGUUUUUUCAGUCUUAAAAUCAUGAAAAUUAUGGAACAAGCUAUGAUUCAGGCAGCCCCUUUGUCUGAUUUCAGUGGAAUGGAGGUGUUGCGUUGAUUAGAGAUUAAAUCUUCUGCUCUUCAGAUUAGCUGAGGGGCAGGCUCUGGCUUCCCUCUCUGAAGCUUGUCUAGUAGUCUCUUAAGAACAUUAUCUAUCUGUUUCAAUUCAAUUUGGUAUUCUUUUGUUUGACGUUUUUGACAUAUCAAUCAGUGCUUGGUUAGCUGAGUACGUGAAAUGAGUCACAAGUUUGCUGGUUCUUUUGCAUCUUCUUUUGUGAAAAUUCACCUAGAAAACUUGAUGGAACGAGCAACGAUUCAGGCAGCCCUUUUUUCUGAUUACAAUGGCAAUGGAGGUGUUGCAUUGCUCGGAGAGUGAAUCUUCUGCUCUUCAGAUUAGCCGAGGUGGAUGUUCCGGCUUCCCUCCGUGAAGCUAGUCUAGUAGUCUUAAGAACAUUAUUAUCAGUAUAUGUUUCUCAUACCCAAUUUGAUAUUGUAUUUUGACAUUUUCUUUGUAGAAUUAAAGAACCACAUGAUUUGGUUUCUCUAGUUUCCUCUUUCUUUGCUUUGCUGUCUGUAAAUUUCUUGUUUGGGGAUCAACGGAAGCAAAUGAUGAUAGCAAGACAGGGACAUCAGAACCCUGAAUUUCAGGUUAAUGACAGACUACGUCUAUAAUGGGAAUCUCUCUGAUGUUUCUGAUUUUCCCCAAGAUAAAUUGAUCUGUUUUUAUGUCUAUUCUUUUUAUUUUUUUAUUUUUUCUCCUUCUCAUUCUUCUUCAGAAUCCAGAUCUCUUUAUUGUUUGUUAACUUUUGGCUAUUCGGAUCUUGGAUGCGAAUACUUCAAGCAGAUCAUGGUCACAAGAUUGUUACAUCAUUGGCAACUGAAGCUUAACAACACAUGAAUAAGAUCAAAUAUUUUGUAUUGGAAAAACAGUGAACAUGAUCUUUAGCUGACUCAAGGCUACUUUUAUUCAUAGGAAUAGGAAACAUGGCGGAUUGCCAUACCUUGCCCAUUUGAAUCCUAUGGAUGCAAAACAAAAGGAAUUGAUCCAAGUGUUUGUUUGAUGGAAGCAUAGGAAUUUUUCACACAUCUUUCCAAGAGCUUGCAACUAUAAAAAUACUAUGAAUCACACAAGGCCUUAUAAACAUGACAUUUGACUGAACAUGAUUAGACAUUUUGACUGAAAAAACAACCUCAUGAUCUUAAACUGACUUGAAAUGAACACGAUCUUUAACUGACUGAACAAUUGAAAGCAAAUGCAUCAUAGUGGCACAGCUAUUUAUUUAUUUUCAUAUAUUUAUAAUUGUUCAUUACAAACUAUGAAUAAAUCCUCUGCUCUUCAGAUGAGCUGAGGGGGAGGCUCUGCUUCACAACUGGAAAAACGGCCUGUUGUUAACAGUUUGGUCAUCCUGAAUAGAUGAAUGGAAACACCAGUCUGCAUUAAACAGCAUGGCGCUUUAUCAAACUGUGCCUUGUUACCUGUCUUCUAGCACAUUUUGUAGCAUUAGACAAUGUGCAUAUUUCUUUUCUUGAGACUUUAUUUUUAUUUGUGAUUUUGUUGUUUGUUCCUGCAUUAGCAUGGCGCUUUAUCAAACUGCGCCUUGUUACCUGUCUUCUAGCACAUUUUGUAGCAUUAGACAAUGUGCAUAUUUCUUUUCUUGAGAUUUUAUUUUUAUUUGUGAUUUUGUUUGUUCCUGCAUUCAUUUGGUGUACGAGACAUAAUUUUGAUUUCUUGAUGUUUUGUUCAGUAAAAAUUCAAUUCUGGUGGUGUUUCACUUCUUUUAGUUUCUGUUCUGAGAUUGUGUUUGGUCUGGGCUGGAAUCUCCAUUUGCAGCUAGUUUGGUUCAGCUGUGUGCGUGAUUUUAAGAGGGUCUCCGAGGGACUCUCUUUAAUCUUGUUAGCUUCAUAUUUGGCCGGUCCAGAGUGCCUAUUAUUGUGAUGAAUUUUUUGUUACGAGUAGUUAAUCAGUUGCCGCCUAAGAGCUUUCGCCCUGCCAGGCUUGAGAGCUAAUGCUGCUAAUUCCUUCCUUGGAUGUCUGAGCCUUGUGAAAUCCCCAAUUUAUCUUUAUUUCUAUUUUACUUUGUUCUCUUCAUUUCCUGAUCUAAUUAUUCCGCCUUCUCUUCUUUGAUGCUUUAAUCUUGUUAUAAAUGUUGUUGUGUUUUGUUGGUUUCACUUGAGGAGCACUGCCCGAUGUCCGCCCACCAUUCUCUCGUUGGAUCCGAGUUUACAACGCUCCCAAGACGUAUUCUUGUAGCGCUUGCAUAAAUAUGUCUAGAUGGAUCUUGGGUUACGCUUGCCCCCAAAUUCCAGUUUAAUCUCUACAUCUUUUUUUUCAUGUAUUAUAAUUCUAGUUAUUGUGGGAUUGAUUAUUUAGCAAUUUGAACCUUUGUUGGUGCGGUGAUUAUAAAACAUUCCUCGUGCUGACGGGAAAUCCCAACUACCAACAAACAAUAUAUCUUCUGGUUUCAUUUGAUUCUUAAUUUUGUUUUAUGUUUAUUUCCCCUGACUUUUUUUUUUCUGUUUGGACUUGAGAGCAAACGUUUAUCUGUAUCUUUCGAACUUGAAGUGUGAAGCUAAUAUUUGUUUGACUUGAGGUGUGGUAAGUUAUCUAUUCGUAUUGCUGGUGGUGGCGAUUGUACAGUGAUUGUAAAACAUUCCUAUACACCCAUAGAUUCCUUGUUUAGUCUGUUUAUCUGGUUUAAUCUGUUUUUCUGGUUUCAUCUUUAUUUCUGUUUGAAAACAUGAAUUUCCAUUUACAAGAUAAACUCAGCUUUGACGCCAGUCACCAGUUCAGACUGUGGAGCACCUGAAGUCCGGCCAUGUCUUUAGUUCAUGGGCCGCCGAAUUACAAGACCUUGGACAGCACUCACGAACUAUCCAGCUCCUUUCGAGUGUGGGCAUUUCCUUAGUUUCAAAGCAUCCGGUUCUAUGAAGCAGUUGAAUCGAGCUCCGCAUCCAUAAAAUGUAAUUCAUGUUGAAAUAGAGAUGUAGAGGUUCAAUAUGGCUCACAUGAAAAAUAGAGAUCAGGAAAAUAGAGGGAGUUUCUGGUUGGUGCUUGUUUAGUGAUCGACACUGGCGAUCAAUUGCUUAUAAAUAUCACUACUUAUAGAGGGUUCUACAUUGUGCCCUCCUCUCUGUUUGUCGGUAUUGAAGACACGGUUUAUCAUUUGACAAAUUUUUAUCUGCCACAACUAAGUAAUAUAUGGAAAGUGACAGCGAUGGGUCAUUUUACAAC